rnacentral:rRNA from 1 species
GAUGAACGCUAGCUACAGGCUUAACACAUGCAAGUCGAGGGGAAACGAUAGAGAAAGCUUGCUUUUUCUAGGCGUCGACCGGCGCACGGGUGAGUAACGCGUAUCCAACCUGCCCAUCACUUGGGGAUAACCUUGCGAAAGUAAGACUAAUACCCAAUGAUAUCUCUAGAAGACAUCUGAAGGAGAUUAAAGAAUUAUCGGUGAUGGAUGGGGAUGCGUCUGAUUAGCUUGUUGGCGGGGUAACGGCCCACCAAGGCGACGAUCAGUAGGGGUUCUGAGAGGAAGGUCCCCCACAUUGGAACUGAGACACGGUCCAAACUCCUACGGGAGGCAGCAGUGAGGAAUAUUGGUCAAUGGACGAGAGUCUGAACCAGCCAAGUAGCGUGCAGGAUGACGGCCCUAUGGGUUGUAAACUGCUUUUAUAAGGGAAUAAAGUGAGUCUCGUGAGACUUUUUGCAUGUACCUUAUGAAUAAGGACCGGCUAAUUCCGUGCCAGCAGCCGCCGUAA